rnacentral:rRNA from 2 species
AGCAGCCGCGGUAAUUCCAGCUCCAAUAGCGUAUAUUAAAGUUGUUGCAGUUAAAAAGCUCGUAGUUGAAUUUCGGGGUUUAUCCGUUGGUCGGGCUUUUGGGUCUGUACUGGCGUGAUGGAUUCCUACCUUCUGAAUAACCAGCAUGUCAUUAAUUUGGUGCGUUGGGGAAGCAGGACUGUUACCUUGAAAAAAUUAGAGUGCUUAAAGCAGGCUAUUGCCUGAAUACAUUAGCAUGGAAUAAUGAAAUAGGACGCAUGGUUCUAUUUUGUUGGUUUCUAGGAUCACCGUAAUGAUUAAUAGGGAUAGUUGGGGGCAUUAGUAUUCAAUUGUCAGAGGUGAAAUUCUUGGAUUUAUUGAAGACUAACUUCUGCGAAAGCAUUUGCCAAGGAUGUUUUCAUUAAUCAAGAACGAAAGUUAGGGGAUCGAAGACGAUCAGAUACCGUCGUAGUCUUAACCAUAAACUAUGCCGACUAGGGAUCGGACGAUGUUAAUUUUUAAUGACUCGUUCGGCGCCUUA